AAGGAGUCUAACACAUCUGCGAGUAUUUGGGUGUCAAACCCGAGUGCGCAAUGAAAGUGAGCGUAGGAGCCACGCGCGAGCUGCAGCUUCGACCGAUCUGGAUCUUUAGUGAUGGAUUUGAGUAAGAGCGUAAAUGUUGGGACCCGAAAGAUGGUGAACUAUGCCUGAAUAGGGCGAAGCCAGAGGAAACUCUGGUGGAGGCUCGUAGCGAUUCUGACGUGCAAAUUGAUCGUCAAAUUUGGGUAUAGGGGCGAAAGACUAAUCGAACCAUCUAGUAGCUGGUUCCUGC
rnacentral:misc_RNA from 1 species